rnacentral:rRNA from 1 species
AUUAGCCNUGCAUGUCUCAGUCCUGCCGCAUUAAGGUGAAACCGCGAAUGGCUCAUUAAAUCAGUUAUGGUUCCUUGGAUCAUGCAAAAAUUUACUUGGAUAACUGUGGUAAUUCUAGAGCUAAUACAUGCAAACCAGAGUUCCUCUCAGAGAUGAGAGGAAUGCUUUUAUUAGAUCAAAACCAAUCGGUGGCGGGUAGCAUUUUGCCGCUCGUCCAUCGUUUGCUUUGAUGACUCUGAAUAACUUUCUGCCGAUCGCAUGGUCUUCGUACCGGCGACGCAUCUUUCAAAUGUCUGCCUUAUCAACUGACGAUGGUAGGUUCUGCGCCUACCAUGGUUGUAACGGGUAACGGGGAAUCAGGGUUCGAUUCCGGAGAGGGAGCCUGAGAAACGGCUACCACAUCCAAGGAAGGCAGCAGGCGCGCAAAUUACCCACUCCCGGCACGGGGAGGUAGUGACGAAAAAUAACGAUACGGGACUCAUCCGAGGCCCCGUAAUCGGAAUGAGUACACUUUAAAUCCUUUAACAAGGAUCAAUUGGAGGGCAAGUCUGGUGCCAGCCGCCGCGGUAAUUCCAGCUCCAAUAGCGUAUAUUAAAGUUGUUGCGGUUAAAAAGCUCGUAGUUGAAUCUGUGUGCCACACUGUCGGUACACCGCUCGUCGGUGCUUACUGACACGAUGGGGGACGUCCUACCGGUGGGCUUAGCUUUGCCUUGUGCUUGGCGGUCCAACUUGAAAUCCCAUCGCGGUGCUCUUCACUGAGUGUCGAGGUGUGCCGGUACGUUUACUUUGAACAAAUUAAAGUGCUUAAAGCAGGCUACUUUCGCCUGAAUAUUCUGUGCAUGGAAUAAUGGAAUAGGACCUCGGUUUCUAUUUUGUUUGGUUUUUCGGAACCCCGAGGUAAUUGAUUAAUAGGGGACAGAUGGGGGCAUUCGUAUUUGCGACGUUAGAGGUGACAUUCUUGUAUCGUCGCAGGACGGACAGAAGCGAAAGCAUUUGCCAUAUAUGUUUUCAUUAAUCAAGACGAUAUGUAGAGGUU